rnacentral:lncRNA from 1 species
CAGCUACUUUGACCACAACUUAAACAAAAAUUUAAGAGCGUAUGAAAUCUUCCUCUACUUCUCUGUUUUUAAAAUUGGAAAUCUGAACAGAAUUUUCUGAUACCGAUCAAACGUUACAGCUGUUAAAGUAACCGCAUCCACAUUCUCUAACUUUUUAUAAACAACUGGAUCGGUGCGCAAGCUCUGCUCCAUGAGUGAUGAGCAGGAUUUCCAACCACUCACAUUCUCUGGUCACCAGGUUUGGGAUGCUCUGGAUCGAUGUGUACGACAGCGUGUCCCAGUUCCCGCCAAUAUCCAGCAACUUUGAAACAGAGUGGGACAACAUUCCACAGGCCACAAUCAACAGCCUGAUCAACUCUAUGCGAAGGAGAUGUGUCGCGCUGCAUGAUCCAAAUGGUGGUCCCACCAGAUACUGACUGGUUUUCUGAUCCACGCCCCUCCUUUUUUUUUUAAAGAGUGACAGUUGCAGUUCCCACUGAACUGUGCCUGGCAGUGACACAGCGGCAACUACGAUACGGGACAGGUUUUUAAAAACAAUUACAAUACAGACAAACAAUGGGCAGUGAGCACAUGCAGAGCAGAAGGACAUGUAGCCCAUUGUUUACCUUAUUACCUGGCAAUGAUCACAAGGGUGUUUCAAAGAGCUGUCAGUCAAGGUGAGCUCAUGAAUAUAAGCUCCCCGCC